rnacentral:rRNA from 1 species
GGAACCGCGAUCAGGGGAUACUGAUUGCCAGCAUAUUAUGUGGGCUUACCACCUGUAUAAACAGCAGGUGUUAGCAAGGGCCGGGCAAGACCGGUGCCAGCCGCCGCGGUAACACCGGCGGCCCGAGUGGUGGCCACUAUUAUUGGGUCUAAAGGGUCCGUAGCCUGUUCGAUCAGUCUUCCGGGAAAUCUGACAGCUCAACUGUUAGGCUUCCGGGGGAUACUGUCGGACUUGGGACCGGGAGAGGUAAGAGGUACUACAGGGGUAGGAGUGAAAUCUUGUAAUCCUUGUGGGACCACCAGUGGCGAAGGCGUCUUACCAGAACGGGUCCGACGGUGAGGGACGAAAGCUGGGGGCACGAACCGGAUUAGAUACCCGGGUAGUCCCAGCCGUAAACGAUGCUCGCUAGGUGUCUGGGACGGUGCGACCGUUUCAGGUGCCGCAGGGAAGCCGUGAAACGAGCCACCUGGGAAGUACGGCCGCAAGCUGAAACUUAAAGGAAUUGGCG